UUGACAGAUUAUUGUAUUCGACUGUAUUCGCAGCGUGAAACAGGGGGAUUACACUGAUUUUAAAAGGAAAGUGUAUCAAUUAACAUAAUAGACUCCU
rnacentral:pre_miRNA from 1 species